UAUUUCAAGGUCUGGAGUUAAGGCAU
rnacentral:piRNA from 1 species